GGCGGGGUAGCUCAGCCUGGUUUGAGCGCCGGACUCAUAAUCCGGAGGUCCCGGGUUCAAAUCCCGGCCCCGCCA
rnacentral:tRNA from 1 species